rnacentral:misc_RNA from 1 species
GAUGAACGCUGGCGGCGUGCUUAACACAUGCAAGUCGAGCGAUGAAGUUUCCUUCGGGAAACGGAUUAGCGGCGGACGGGUGAGUAACACGUGGGUAACCUGCCUCAUAGAGUGGAAUAGCCUUCCGAAAGGAAGAUUAAUACCGCAUAACGUUGAAAGAUGGCAUCAUCAUUCAACCAAAGGAGCAAUCCGCUAUGAGAUGGACCCGCGGCGCAUUAGCUAGUUGGUGGGGUAACGGCCUACCAAGGCGACGAUGCGUAGCCGACCUGAGAGGGUGAUCGGCCACAUUGGGACUGAGACACGGCCCAGACUCCUACGGGAGGCAGCAGUGGGGAAUAUUGCACAAUGGGGGAAACCCUGAUGCAGCAACGCCGCGUGAGUGAUGAAGGUUUUCGGAUCGUAAAGCUCUGUCUUUGGGGAAGAUAAUGACGGUACCCAAGGAGGAAGCCACGGCUAACUACGUGCCAGCAGCCGCGGUAAUACGUAGGUGGCGAGCGUUAUCCGGAUUUACUGGGCGUAAAGGGAGCGUAGGCGGAUGAUUAAGUGGGAUGUGAAAUACCCGGGCUCAACUUGGGUGCUGCAUUCCAAACUGGUUAUCUAGAGUGCAGGAGAGGAGAGUGGAAUUCCUAGUGUAGCGGUGAAAUGCGUAGAGAUUAGGAAGAACACCAGUGGCGAAGGCGACUCUCUGGACUGUAACUGACGCUGAGGCUCGAAAGCGUGGGGAGCAAACAGGAUUAGAUACCCUGGUAGUCCACGCCGUAAACGAUGAAUACUAGGUGUGGGAGUUUCAACACCUCCGUGCCGCCGCUAACGCAUUAAGUAUUCCGCCUGGGGAGUACGGUCGCAAGAUUAAAACUCAAAGGAAUUGACGGGGACCCGCACAAGUAGCGGAGCAUGUGGUUUAAUUCGAAGCAACGCGAAGAACCUUACCUACACUUGACAUCCCUUGCAUUACUCUUAAUCGAGGAAAUCCCUUCGGGGACAAGGUGACAGGUGGUGCAUGGUUGUCGUCAGCUCGUGUCGUGAGAUGUUGGGUUAAGUCCCGCAACGAGCGCAACCCUUGUCGUUAGUUACUACCAUUAAGUUGAGGACUCUAGCGAGACUGCCUGGGUUAACCAGGAGGAAGGUGGGGAUGACGUCAAAUCAUCAUGCCCCUUAUGUGUAGGGCUACACACGUGCUACAAUGGCUGGUACAGAGAGAUGCAAUACCGCGAGGUGGAGCCAAACUUAAAAACCAGUCUCAGUUCGGAUUGUAGGCUGAAACUCGCCUACAUGAAGCUGGAGUUACUAGUAAUCGCGAAUCAGAAUGUCGCGGUGAAUACGUUCCCGGGUCUUGUACACACCGCCCGUCACACCAUGAGAGUUGGCAAUACCCGAAGUCCGUGAGCUAACCGCAAGGAGGCAGCGGCCGAAGGUAGGGUCAGCGAUUGGGGUGAAGUCGUAACAAGGUAGCCGUAGGAGAACCUGCGGCUGGAUCACCUCCUUUCUAAGGAAUAUAUCUUAGGACAACUAAGAUGACAAUGAAUUCUGGAUAAUAUCUCUGUUUAAUUUUGAGAGACUAAGUUCGACAAAAUACUACAAAAAAAGUAUUGACAACGAAAAAGUUUCUUGAUAAAAUAAUAUGCGUUGUGAGAGCAACGAUUAAAUAUGGGGGUAUAGCUCAGUUGGGAGAGCACCUGCCUUGCACGCAGGGGGUCAGGAGUUCGAAUCUCCUUACCUCCACCAUAUGUGGGUCUAUAGCUCAGGUGGUUAGAGCGCACGCCUGAUAAGCGUGAGGUCGAUGGUUCGAGUCCAUUUAGACCCACCAUUGUUCUUUGAAAAUUGCACAUAAAUUAAUAUAGAAACAACAAGCCAAAUUGGCAAAACCAAUUUCUAUUCUUUGUAAAAUGAGAACUAUAACUAAUAUAGGUCAAGCUACAAAGGGCGCAUGGUGAAUGCCUUGGCAUCAGGAGCCGAUGAAGGACGUGAUAAGCUGCGAUAAGCUUCGGGUAGGCGCACAUAGCCUGAGAUCCGAAGAUCUCCGAAUGAGGAAACUCACAUGGGAAACCCCAUGUAUCAUUAAGUGAAUACAUAGCUUAAUGAAGGUAACCCAGGGAACUGAAACAUCUAAGUACCUGGAGGAAGAGAAAGAAAAAUCGAUUUUCUUAGUAGCGGCGAGCGAAAGGGAAAGAGCCCAAACCGGAAACUUGUUUCCGGGGUUGAGGACAUAACAUUAAAGAGAAGUAAUGGCUAAUUGAAGAGAACUGGAAAGUUCCACCGUAGAAGGUAAUAGUCCUGUAAAUGAAAGCUAGUAUAAUCGAGUUAUGAUCCAGAGUACCACGAGACACGUGAAACCUUGUGGGAAGCAGGGAGGACCACCUCCCAAGGCUAAAUACUACCUGAUGACCGAUAGUGAAGC